UACGGAGGGCGCAAGCGUUGUUCGGAAUCAUUGGGCGUAAAGCGCGUGUCGGCGGCUUGGCAAGUCGGGUGUGAAAGCCCGGGGCUCAACCCCGGAACUGCAUUCGAAACUGCCUCGCUGGAGUCCCGGAGAGGAAGGCGGAAUUCCCGGUGUAGAGGUGAAAUUCGUAGAUAUCGGGAGGAACACCAGUGGCGAAGGCGGCCUUCUGGACGGUGACUGACGCUGAGACGCGAAAGCGUGGGGAGCAAACAGG
rnacentral:rRNA from 1 species